GUAUACCUCCACUAGGGGCUCUAAGCAUAUUACUGGCCGUAGAAGUGGUAGAAAAGGAAUAUAUGCCCAAUAUAAUUGUUUCAGCAGUUACUGGGGGGGGGGGGGGUGGGGGGAGUACUCAUAGCAAUGGUGAGCACAGCCGUCAUAGCUAUUAUUAGAUUAUUCAUCAUAGCUGGUCAUUCCGCCACCUUCAGAUUUUCUUCUCCCAUCUUUGUCAACUUCUUGAUGUGGCCCCAGACUAUUGAGACAAGCUGUGGAAGGGCCAAUGAGUUUUGCCACCCAUCCCCUACCUCUAAAAUGGGCAAAUCAGUGUCUUCAUGAAGGAAGGAAGCUUAAAGCACUUAAUGAUAAUUCCACAGCCUCAAGCCAGGAAACUCCUCAGCAGCCCAGUUCCAGUGACUGAGUCCACUUUGAAGACACCUUGUUGUGGGCUGCCCAUACUGUGAGGCCUGUACCCAACCAGCCCACUGGCCUUCAGUUCCAUCAGGACUGGAAGCACCUGCACACAGAGCUGAAAAGCAAACCUUUUUUAUGACUGGACGUGAACAUGUGCCGUGAUAGCUAUGUGUUUCCAGGUAAAGUUAUGAGGACUUUUGUUAGUAAUAC
rnacentral:lncRNA from 1 species